CAGGGGGGGCAAGCGUUGUUCGGAAUUACUGGGCGUAAAGGGUCUGUAGGUGGCCAACUAAGUCAGACAUGAAAUCCCUCAGCUUAACUGGGGAACUGCGUCUGAUACUGGAUGGCUUGAGUGCAGGAGAGGAAUGCGGAAUUCCAGGUGUAGCGGUGAAAUGCGUAGAUAUCUGGAGGAACACCGGUGGCGAAGGCGGCAUUCUGGACUGCAACUGACACUGAGAGACGAAAGCCAGGGGAGCAAACGGGAUUAGAUACCCCGGUAGUCCUGGCCCUAAACGAUGAAUGCUUGGUGUAACGGGUAUCGAUCCCUGUUGUGCCGAAGCUAACGCAUUAAGCAUUCCGCCUGGGGAGUACGGUCGCAAGGCUG
rnacentral:rRNA from 1 species